rnacentral:rRNA from 1 species
AUUGAACGCUGGCGGCAGGCCUAACCCAUGCAAGUCGAACGAGUGGCGGACGGGUGAGUAAUGUCUGGGAAACUGCCUGAUGGAGGGGGAUAACUACUGGAAACGGUAGCUAAUACCGCAUACCAUCGGAUGUGCCCAGAUGGGAUUGGCUAGUAGGUGGGGUAACGGCUCACCUAGGCGACGAUCCCUAGCUGGUCUGAGAGGAUGACCAGCAACACUGGAACUGAGACACGGUCCAGACUCCUACGGGAGUAAGCAGUGGGGAAGAUUGCACAAUGGGCGCAAGCCUGAUGCAGCCAUGCCGCGUGUGGGAAGAAGGCCUGCGGGUUGUAAAGCACUGUCAGCGGGGAGGCGUUACCCGCAGAAGAAGCACCGGCUAACUCCGUGCCAGCAGCCGCGGUAAUUC